UUCAAGUUACCCAGAGUAGGGAGAAUAAUGCAUAAAGCAACAACUCUUGUUUCUAUUUAAAAUAGGCCUGAAUAACUGUUGUGGAUAAACAGCACAGAAAAGCUGUUCCACAUGGUGGGCUUUUUUAUUACAGUUUGUAAGCAAUGCUUUGUACACCACAGAUCAUAUCUGGGUGGAAAAAAUUUUAUUAGCUUUAUGCAUGUACAAGACAAUUGUUUACAUUUGAGUUAGUCAGCUUGCUUUUCCCAAGAGAAAUACAUGUUCUUCACCUUAUUUCCUUCAGAUGCCUGAAUGAGGUUAAUUGUGCCCUAGAAGUGCCACUUUUAUUUUCAUUGAUUAUUAAAGGAGCCUUGACAAUCAAGUCAGAUAGAGAUGUUUAAAUCUGAUCAGAUGAAUUCCAAUUUCUAGUCCAGAGUAAGCACAUCCCACAAGGAAAUGAGAAUGACAUUUAGUCCACUAUAAAAUUCAUACUUUCCUACUAAAAAAACCCUAACAAUAUUCUUUGAAUACAAGGAACUCUUAUUUGCAGCUGUGUAGGUUGUUCAAGCUACACUUCCACAUUAGUAAUGCAGUUUAGUCCUUUAAACCAAGUUUCUUUUUUUUUUUUCAGAACCUUAUAUAGAUGUUAAAAAAUCAACAACAAAAAAGAAAAAAAAAGGAAGGAAAAGAAAAAAGGAGUGCAAGAUAAAAAAAAAUUGUUGAUGGAACCCAGUCUGGGUAAUAGCUUCCAGGUGUGGUCACAACCAUAAAUGGUGAGGUCAAGAUUAGCAACCAUUUUCUUCUGAGAAGCAGUAUGUGAUCUUGUGUGCUCAUAGUUCAUUGCAAAGUGAAAAUAAAACAGGUAAGCCUAAAGACAGAGAUUCCUGACAUCAUUAAAAAGCAUUAUCUUGGAAUUUAUUUUAACAUGAUUCUCUGUAUGUGAUCAUGUUGGAAACAUGCCUGUUAUAAAUUGCUGCCUUUUAGCUGAGAUUUGUAGGUCCCAGGGAAAGUAUGGUAAUUUCCAUGGAAUGUGUUAGUGUAAAUCUUUGCAGUGGUGUGCUUUAUCCUCAGGUUCCUCAGAGUGGGAUACUUUCUGAUAGGGGGGCACAAAGUUGCACUGCUUUGAAUUUACAUAGAAACUGUGUCUUAGUUGUUUGGGUUUUUUUUUUUUUUUAAUGAACCAAAAAGUUACAGGCAUUUUAUCAACAGAUAGGCUGUGAAGCAGAAAAGAGGACUUUUGACAAAGAGUGGCAUCUCUGGGGACAAGUCACUACCUCAGUGGUAGAAGGAUGCUUUUAUUCAGGGAAGGGCAUGUUGAUGAUGAGACUUCCUCCAGAACCUCACCUGUUUUUUAGAGAUGUGUUUAUUACUGGCAUGAUAACUUCUUCAGGAAUUUUCUAUGCUAUGGCAUAGUGGAAGUCUGUCAAUAAGAAUCACUGUGUAAAAGUCAUGAUUUUGGAAAAAUUAAUGUCCGAAAUUUGGGGACAAACGGGUCUGAGAGGAAGAAAAAAAAAAACCCCAUGUGUAUAUUGAGAAAGAAUGUUUGAGAGCAGUGUUGGGUCUCUCAGUGAAGGACUCAGACUACUAACUAGUAGCUUCUGAGAUCAUUUUGUUAAAUGAACAGUUCUGUCUGGACCAGCUGCUAUACAGUGAUGGAGCUUUAGACAAGGGCAUUGAAACUGUUAAGACAAAUGAUAUAGUCAUAAUAGAGUGUUAUAAUGGAUACCCCAUCCAAUUAGCUGACCAGAAGCAGCAGAAAAAAAAAAUCUAAUUUGCAGUUAUGAUGCUAUAAAAAUCUUGUAAUCUGUGGGUGCAACAUCCUAACUGCAAUAUUCACCCUUGUUUCCUUUUGCCACAUGAACAUGUAUUUUUGGUAUGAGUAAUUGGAUUCAUUGCUACGGACCUAGUAAGAAAUACAUGUAUUUCAUUUUAUUCAACAUGCUUGGCCGUGGUGAUGUUCACAGGAUGUGUGAAGCCGUGCAAAUCCGGUCACAAUGUAUAUAGUAGAAUCAGAUGUCAGAAUUUAGCUGUUUUUAAAAAAAUAAAGUUCUCACAGGGACAUAUCUGGAUGUGCAUGUGAAUCUUGUCUUAUGGUUUGAAGAUGAGUCUGGCUUUGGCUGUAUCCCAUUGCCUGGGAGCAAGGUCUGAGAUUGGAAGGGUGUUUCUUGGAAAACAGCUAUGUAGAAUAAAUAGGUAGAAGCAUCAUGCUCAGUGUAUAGCAAGAGAUAAUUUUUGAAGGGCAUGGAAGCCCCACAGUUGAUAAGUGCCUUAGCAUUAGAGAGUUCAAAACCAUUUUGAUAUUAUGGGUCAGAUAGUAUACUUGUCCCUCAAGUUAUGUACAGAGAAAAGAAAAAUUUCCAUUGCUUUCCCAGCAAUUGGAAACUUUAGAAAGAGCUUGUACUCCCUCAUUUCCUCAAACAUGCUCUCUAAUACUGAGAUCAGCUACGCUUAGAUAGAAUUUGAACCAAGAGGCUGGGAAUUGUGAAUUGGGGAUGAACUGCUCUGAGGUUACAAAGAAGAGGAGGGAAACCGGAAUAUUUGCUGCUCUUUAUUGCAAUACAGCCUACAGCCAGAAACAGGCACAAAACAGAAGCAGCAAGGUGUCAGUUGUCAACGACUUGUUACUGAUCUGGAUUUGAUGUUUAUGGUAUGUGGACUGGCUGUGGGAAAAGGAGUCUGUUUUUCCUACUGCAGAAGGUGGAGCUGUUGACGGUGAAGGUCAUGCAACUUUAUAGUCUCCUAAUGAGGUAAUAAGGAAGCAAGAAAAAAAACCCCUAUCUUAUUACAAAAAGUGCAAGCUAAUUGGCAUACCCUGGUUUUAAUUAGUAGGUAAGAUUUGCUAUGCUGGUGAAAGGGAAGUGAGAAGCCUGGGUAAAAGUUUACUGGGGUUCACCUAUGAAAAAAUAAUUAUGCUACAGCAGCACUUAAAACAUAAAUAACUAGAAGCAAUUUGCUUUGAUAACAGUGUACUAAAUACCUACAAAAUAGGAGAUGCUGUGCUGUUGCAGCAAACUGAAGAGAGGACUGCCUGGAAGGGUAUGGAUAGGUUCCGCACUCUGCAGGGCUCAGAGGGAAGUUUAGAACAGAAAAGAAGAAUAAACAGAGGCCUCAGCCAUGCUGGCCUAGGCAUUUUUUCAUUUGUGUACUCCAGGGCUAACUAUAAAGGGUUUCAUAUGCUGUCAGCAAGACCUUGUAUCAUUACGCAUUGUAUUGUUGUAUUGACAAUCCUUUCUGGAUAAUGUAAAAGUUGAGGUAUGCAGUUUAUAAGUGCUAGGAGAGAGACCUCUAUUUCUCUGCUAAAUAAAACUGUUUUUCCAUUAAAAUUUGUGGUUGCAACGAUGUAUUAUAAAAACAUAAAUAUGGGAACACAUUGAACUGGGCUAUCAAUACAUUUCACGGCAAAGGUGACAUCAUAUCCCACAUAUGUUUUGUGGUUUAUUAUGAUAGUCCCAGAACCCUGGGAAGAAUUUAUAGCCUUCACAACUCACCAAUUAUAUUUAUAAUCACUUGAAAGACUCGUUUGUAUUUGGUAAGAAUACUUUUUUUUUUAAUAUUUCUUUUAGAUUUAUUGUUUUUAUUUAUCUACACUACACUUUUUGAGUUUAAAGCUGACAUUCAGCAAUUACUUUACAACAGUUUUUCUAUCAUGCACCCAAAUAGGAUUCACCUUCCAUAGCAUUGAGCUAUUUGUUAGUAUCCCGUACAGAUUUGAGUUCUCUGGCUGCAGUGUGUGGAGGGGGAGUGUUGGUCGGCUUGUUUGAUGCAAUCAGCAGUGUGUGAAAGAAAUAUUGCAUGCUCAAGGUCACACUUGCGUCUCUACAGCACGUAGCAUGAGCAGUAUCAUUUGAAAUCUUACGCGACAGUUGAAGUUGCCAGAGCUAAAAGAAGAGGCUUCAGAAUAGCAUUGAUUCAAUUUUAUUCCUCAGUUGUAAAAGAUGUCUGUGCUUAUGAAACCCUUCAGGCUUCCUUUUCCAUGGCUGGCUUUGUGUUGGUCCCCCAGCAGGCAUGCUGGGAAGGUGAUAAGGCACUUGCGUUGGAAGUGCUCACUGAGGCAUCUUCAAAUGUAACUUCAAAUAAUUACCGA